AACGAACGCUGGCGGCAUGCCUAACACAUGCAAGUCGAACGAGAUCUUCGGGUCUAGUGGCGCACGGGUGCGUAACGCGUGGGAAUCUGCCCUUUGGUUCGGAAUAACAGUUGGAAACGACUGCUAAUACCGGAUGAUGACGAAAGUCCAAAGAUUUAUCGCCAGAGGAUGAGCCCGCGUAGGAUUAGCUAGUUGGUGUGGUAAAGGCGCACCAAGGCGACGUUCCUUAGCUGGUCUGAGAAGAUGAUCAGCCACACUGGGACUGAGACACGGCCCAGACUCCUACGGGAGGCAGCAGUGGGGAAUAUUGGACAAUGGGCGAAAGCCUGAUCCAGCAAUGCCGCGUGAGUGAUGAAGGCCUUAGGGUUGUAAAGCUCUUUUACCCGGGAUGAUAAUGACAGUACCGGGAGAAUAAGCUCCGGCUAACUCCGUGCCAGCCGCCGCAGUAA
rnacentral:rRNA from 1 species